rnacentral:rRNA from 1 species
CACGCCGUAAACGAUGAGUGCUAGGUGUAGAGGGUAUCGACCCCUUCUGUGCCGCAGUUAACACAAUAAGCACUCCGCCUGGGGAGUACGGCCGCAAGGUUGAAACUCAAAGGAAUUGACGGGGGCCCGCACAAGCGGUGGAGCAUGUGGUUUAAUUCGACGCAACGCGAAGAACCUUACCAGGGCUUGACAUCCUCUGAAUCUUGAGGAAACUUGAGAGUGCCCUUCGGGGAGCAGAGAGACAGGUGG